rnacentral:tRNA from 2 species
GGCUACCUGGCGCAAUGGUAGCGCGUUUGGCUUCGACGGCUCAACGGCAAUUGCGAUAGGCACCAAAAGGUUGCAGGUUCGAGUCCUGCGGUGGUCA